rnacentral:rRNA from 1 species
UACGUAGGGUGCGAGCGUUAAUCGGAAUUACUGGGCGUAAAGUGUGCGCAGGCGGCCAUGCAAGUCGAGUGUGAAAGCCCCGGGCUUAACUUGGGAAUUGCGCUCGAAACUACGUGGCUGGAGUGUGGCAGAGGAAGGUGGAAUUCCACGUGUAGCGGUGAAAUGCGUAGAUAUCUGGAGGAAUACCGGUGGCGAAGGCGGCAUCCUGGACCGGCAUUGACGCUGAGGAGCGAAAGCCAGGGGAGCAAACGGG